rfam:Beta vulgaris subsp. vulgaris chromosome 4, whole genome shotgun sequence.
GAGAGCACAGUACGAUGAAAGUUGUAAGCUGUGUUCGGGGGUAUUUAUUGUCUAUUGUUGGUCUCUAUGGUAGAAUCAGU